rnacentral:rRNA from 1 species
GGAAUAUUGCACAAUGGGCGCAAGCCUGAUGCAGCCAUGCCGCGUGUAUGAAGAAGGCCUUCGGGUUGUAAAGUACUUUCAGCGGGGAGGAAGGCGACGGGGUUAAUAACCCUGUCGAUUGACGUUACCCGCAGAAGAAGCACCGGCUAACUCCGUGCCAGCAGCCGCGGUAAUACGGAGGGUGCAAGCGUUAAUCGGAAUUACUGGGCGUAAAGCGCACGCAGGCGGUCUGUUAAGUCAGAUGUGAAAUCCCCGGGCUUAACCUGGGAACUGCAUUUGAAACUGGCAGGCUUGAGUCUUGUAGAGGGGGGUAGAAUUCCAGGUGUAGCGGUGAAAUGCGUAGAGAUCUGGAGGAAUACCGGUGGCGAAGGCGGCCCCCUGGACAAAGACUGACGCUCAGGUGCGAAAGCGUGGGGAGCAAACAGGAUUAGAUACCCUUG